rnacentral:rRNA from 1 species
CAAAGGGGGCGACCCCGGUCAUGGAUGGGCAUGCGGCGCAUUAGGUAGUUGGUGGGGCAACGGCCCACCAAGCCGACGAUGCGUAGGGGUUCUGAGAGGAAGGUCCCCCACAUUGGAACUGAGACACGGUCCAAACUCCUACGGGAGGCAGCAGUGAGGAAUAUUGGUCAAUGGCCGGAAGGCUGAACCAGCCAAGUCGCGUGAGGGAAUAAGGCCCUACGGGUCGUAAACCUCUUUUGCCAGGGAGCAAUGCCGUCCACGUGUGGACGGAAGGAGAGUACCUGGAGAAAAAGCAUCGGCUAACUCCGUGCCAGCAGCCGCGGUAAUACGGAGGAUGCGAGCGUUAUCCGGAUUUAUUGGGUUUAAAGGGUGCGUAGGCGGCCUGCCAAGUCAGCGGUAAAAUUGCGGGGCUCAACCCCGUACAGCCGUUGAAACUGCCGGGCUCGAGUGGGCGAGAAGUAUGCGGAAUGCGUGGUGUAGCGGUGAAAUGCAUAGAUAUCACGCAGAACCCCGAUUGCGAAGGCAGCAUACCGGCGCCCGACUGACGCUGAGGCACGAAAGUGCGGGGAUCAAACAGGAUUAGAUAUCCUGGUAGUCCGCACAGUAAACGAUGAAUGCUAGCUGUCCGGGGGGAUUGACCCCUGG